AAUUGUCCCCUGUCUUUGGCUGAGUUCCAGAAUGGAUACUGGAAUGAGGAUUCGUGUGCUUGUAAUUUAUCAAGGAAGUGCUCCCAUGGGAAACAAAGGAAGCAGUUCAGAGUAGCAAGAAAGCCAAGCUAAGGGUGAUCUCAGACAAAGUCAGCAGAGGAUGAAUUCUGCAUAGCACUGGGAGGUGUGAGGCAUCUAUGCAAAGAAGCUGCACGUUCAAACCCUUGCCAAUCACUAACUGACUGGGGCUAUCAGGCCAGGGGGAAGAAGGCAGGUUGGCAGUUGAAAUUGACCAUGACGCUGUCCCCUCCAUACAAGGUGACUCCAGCAGUCCUAGGAAGGUCCUCUGAAGAAACACUCUGGGCACACACUGUAGGAAGAAAAGCACUUCAGACCUGGGAGGAGCCAGGAACUCAUCAAAGGCAUAGAGGGACCCAAGCUCUGGUCCAGCAGCAGAUUUUGAACACAUAUGUUGGUUAUGCUGGGAUAAAAGGAGACCGAGAAAUAAUGGGAUGGUUAAGGGAUGGCCAAGCCCAGACAACUGGUCCACAGGCACAUCAGACCUAGAAGGAUGGACCAGCUCCUGAGGAGCCCAGUGAGGUCUGUUCCCCUGCUAGUGUGUCCGGCUUCCUGGGAGUCUCAUGUUGCCCUUCCCCCCAGCCACAGCAGCUCUUUAGUUCUUCUCAUCCAAGUCCCUCUCUCCUCCCAACCCAGCUGAGCCAACAUCUUUGACUGAGCCCUGGAAAAAUUCCUUUCCCCUUAGCUUUGCCAAAAAGGAAAAAAAGUUGAAAAUUUCCAAAAGGAACAUGUAACUAAGGCACAAAAGGGGAACCUAGACACAGAGACAUGGUGAGUUUACAGAGCACACAAGGCUGUGCCAACCUGACCUAAUGUCUCAGGGAAGGCCUGCUGGGCCACGCACAGAAGGGGGGUUGGCUGCUUGGAAUUCCUCAAGGAAGCGGGCCUGGAGGUGGCUGGGCUGAGGUGGGUGGGUUUGCUUCCACCCUGGUGGGGACCUCAAUACCUCAGUCUCUUAGGCUUUGAACCGGUUUGGGGGGAGGGCCUCUCCAUACCCUAACCCUGCUCAGGUCCAAGCUGGGAGCCCUAAGCAGACCUGGGGCUCCUUAAGUCUUGUGGUCCUGCCCCCUUUCCUGAGAAAGGCUCUGAAAUUUCUUCACCUUCUCCCAGAUGUUGCUGGCUCCUGGCUCAGGAUGGCUCUCUGCCCCACACCCCACACCCUCUGUCUCUCUGCCUGAUCAGGUUCCCAGAGUCCAUUCACUGGGUUCAGACUGGCUCUGCCCUAGAGCAGCCAAACUCCUGCCUGGCUGCUCUGCCUUUUAGAGUCCAGGCUAUAGCACUUUUAGACUUUCUUUGUUUCUGAC